rnacentral:snoRNA from 2 species
AAGCCCAUGAUGAUAAAAAUAGAACUGGAAUUACCAUCUGAAUAACUUUGAUGUAAAUUUCUUGGCUGUGGUACUGAGGCUUCAC